CCUACGGGGGGCAGCAGUAGGGAAUCUUCCACAAUGGGCGAAAGCCUGAUGGAGCAACGCCGCGUGGGUGAAGAAUGUCUUCGGAUCGUAAAACCCUGUUGUUAGAGAAGAAAGUGCGUGAGAGUAACUGUUCACGUUUCGACGGUAUCUAACCAGAAAGCCACGGCUAACUACGUGCCAGCAGCCGCGGUAAUACGUAGUUGGCAAGCGGUAUCAGGAUUUAUUGGUCGUAAAGCGAACGCAUGUGGUCUUUUAAGUCUGAUUUUAAA
rnacentral:rRNA from 1 species